AAGGCAGCAGGUGUAGUGGACGGCUAAUUAUACCAACAAUUACUGUUUACAACACGGAAAAAAUGGAUUAAUUACCACAGAAAACAUUCAAUGCAAGAUUCAUCAUCGUUAUGGAUUUAUUCUACAAAGUCUCCAGAAAGACCCUGCACUAGCUUCUCGGCUAAAAGCAGCCGUGACUGAGAGCUCCAGAGGAGGAAGAAGAAGAAGAGGAGGAAGGAGCUCCAGGAAACCGGAUCGUCCACUGAGCGGCGCCGCAGCCCGCAACUUCCCCUCCCAGCAGCCCAGCGAGCAGCUCAGCCAGCCGGCGCUUCCUCUCUCUGCAACCCGCUGCAGGGCCAAUCCGCUCACACUCACACUCACUCCGUGUUGGGUUACAAUGACAAGGGCCCUGUCUGAACCGCGACUUUUAGAAAGAUAAUAUUACAGGCCCACAGCUGAUCCAUCUCCCAGUGCACAAUCCAGACAGAGGAGGUUAAAGCACUCUGAACGCAUGGGACCAUAUUGCAGCUGAAGAUGCGCGACGGCUUCACAGUCCAAGAGGCCGUAACAUGAACAGCUAGAGAAGUCCAUAAAGGAA